rnacentral:rRNA from 1 species
CCUACGGGAGGCAGCAGUGGGGAAUAUUGGGCAAUGGGCGCAAGCCUGACCCAGCAAAGCCGCGUGAAGGAAGAAGGCUCUCGGGUUGUAAACUUCUUUUAUUAGGGACGAAGAACGUGACGGUACCUGAUGAAUAAGCCACGGCUAACUACGUGCCAGCAGCCGCGGUAAUACGUAGGUGGCAAGCGUUAACCGGAUUUACUGGGUGUAAAGGGCGUGUAGGCGGGAAAGCAAGUGAGAUGUGAAAACCAUGGGCUCAACCUGUGGCCUGCAUUUGAAACUGUUUUUCUUGAGUACUGGAGAGGCAGACGGAAUGCCUAGUGUAGCGGUGAAAUGCGUAGAUAUUAGGAGGAACACCAGUGGCGAAGGCGGUCUGCUGGACAGCAACUGACGCUGAGGCGCGAAAGCGUGGGGAGCAAACAGGAUUAGAUACCCUUGUAGUC